UUGGAGGGCAAGUCUGGUGCCAGCAGCCGCGGUAAUUCCAGCUCCAAUAGCGUAUAUUAAAGUUGUUGCAGUUAAAAAGCUCGUAGUUGAACUUCGGAAUCAAUGGAUUGGUCAUGCCGUUGGUAUGUACUGGUCAUAUUGGUUCUCACCUUCUAAGGAACCAUAAUGUCAUUCAUUUGAUGUUUUGGGGAAUUAGGACUGUUACCUUGAAAAAAUUAGAGUGUUUAAAGCAGGCUAACGCUUGAAUACAUUAGCAUGGAAUAAUGAAAUAGGACAUCGCAUUCUAUUUUGUUGGUUUCUAGGAUCGAUGUAAUGAUUAAUAGGGAUAGUUGGGGGCAUUAGUAUUCAACUGUCAGAGGUGAAAUUCUUGGAUUUAUUGAAGACUAACUACUGCGAAAGCAUUUGCCAAGGAUGUUUUCAUUAAUCAAGAACGAAAGUUAGGGGAUCGAAGACGAUCAGAUACCGUCGUAGUCUUAACCAUAAACUAUGCCGACUAGGGAUCGGAUGAUGUUGAUUUUUUAAUGACUCAUUCGGCGCCUUACGGGAAAC
rnacentral:rRNA from 1 species